GACGAACGCUGGCGGCGUGCCUAAUACAUGCAAGUCGAGCGAACCGAUUAAAAGCUUGCUUUUUUGAGGUUAGCGGCGGACGGGUGAGUAACACGUGGGCAACCUGCCCUAUAGACUGGGAUGACUCGCGGAAACGCGUGCUAAUACCGGAUAAUACAAUGGAGCGCCUGCUCCAUUGUUGAAAGAUGGCUUUUGCUAUCGGUAGAGGGUGGGCUCGCGUCUGAUUAGAUAGUUGGUGGGGUAACGGCCUACCAAGUCGACGAUCAGUAGCCGACCUGAGAGGGUGAUCGGCCACAUUGGGACUGAGACACGGCCCAAACUCCUACGGGAGGCAGCAGUGGGGAAUAUUGCGCAAUGGGGGAAACCCUGACGCAGCAAUGCCGCGUGAAGGAAGAAGGUCUUCGGAUCGUAAACUUUUGUCUUCAGGGACGAUAAUGACGGUACCUGAGGAGGAAGCCACGGCUAACUACGUG
rnacentral:rRNA from 1 species